rnacentral:lncRNA from 1 species
CAAAAUAUUGUAUUAUUAUUUAUUUAAACUUCAGUUCUAUGAUAGAGAAUAGGGUGAGGGAUCCUUACUCAAUUUUAACGCCCGAAAGCUAAGCUGUUUACUGCGCCUAUGGGGGAUCCCUAGGUUCCCUGAAUUUUUCUUCGGGAAUUGAAACGCGCUAAUAGUACCAACAAAUGUUCCAAAUAAACUCAAAAUCAGUCCCAGGGCCCACUCAGCCAAUUUUGGAAUUCUGGCACGGCGACUCCGCCGUGCUCCGGCGAGGGGACCGCUGCGGGUAGCGGCAGUCCACCUCAUGUCGGCCAUUUUCGGCCAUUUUUGGCCAAAUUGGUGGAUUUUGCAUCGAUCCCUGUGAGAAAACACGUUAAAGGGACUUGGUUGACCGAAAAAAUACAAAAAAUCAAAACUUACCAGCGGCGGGACUCUCCAAUGCGAUGGCUCCUUUAGCUCAUGUUGCGGUUGGGUGUUUUGCUUUGGUCAACCUGUAGAAGAAAAAAUGGUAAUCACAACAAUGGAAAAAUUACGUGAAACGAGAAUCGAAAAGGGUGAGCUUAACCAGUCUUCGGAGGUGUUUUGUGAAAUUAUCUGCUGCGGCGGCGCCCGGCUUUGCUGGUAUUUUUCGAUCAAUUAACCAGUCUUUUUGCUCUAAUUUGACCACGGGUGAGCUUAAAAUUGAAUUUCGUGCAAAAAGAAAAGUUUUACCUUCUUUGGCAGUUGAAAAGGGUUCUGAUGCGGCGGCGGGUGGCGGCGAUCGGCUCCCCUGCUGCUGGGUCAUCUUCUCCAAUGAGGGGGUCUGGUGGCUAAGGUUAGGAUUUGGUGUGGAUGGAGGUUAUUUAUAUCCGUGCACUUGUGAUCUGAACCGUCUAUCGCGUUUGAUCUGAACCGUCCAAUUGCGAUUAAAUAGGGAGUGAAUUUGGACCGUUCAUCGUGAGUCAAUCUCAGCCAUCCAUCGGGAUCUAAUUUGGGUCAUCCGAUCGUAUUUGAAUCUAGCUGUUCGAUCGCAUUUGAGAGGGAGCGCAUCCAGGUCGUUUGUGCGCGCGGGAAUGAACCUCAACCGUUCGAUCGUGGGCACGCGGAUCGUCCACGUGGUCUCCUGCGUCAAUGUCUCUGCCACUUGGCUCAUCCUGGUUGGUCAAGGCUGCUGACCAGGAGUCUGACGUGGCGAAACUUCUCUAAAUUAUAUUUUGACUCAUGUUUUCUAAUUUUUUUUUCCAAAAAUACCCUCAUAACUCAAAUUUUCACUCAUUUUCCCCAAAAUUAUUUUCA